rnacentral:rRNA from 1 species
AGGACGAACGCUGGCGGCGUGCUUAACACAUGCAAGUCGAGCGAGGCCUCUCCUUCGGGAGAGUGUCCUAGCGGCGAACGGGUGAGUAACACGUGGGCAACCUGCCCCUAGCAUUGGGAUAAGCCCGGGAAACCGGGUCUAAUACCGAAUACGAUCUCGGAAGGCAUCUUCUGAGAUGGAAAAGGUUACUGGCUAGGGAUGGGCCCGCGGCCUAUCAGCUUGUUGGUGGGGUAAUGGCCUACCAAGGCGACGACGGGUAGCCGGCCUGAGAGGGCGACCGGCCACACUGGGACUGAGACACGGCCCAGACUCCUACGGGAGGCAGCAGUGGGGAAUAUUGCACAAUGGGCGAAAGCCUGAUGCAGCGACGCCGCGUGAGGGAUGACUGCCUUCGGGUUGUAAACCUCUUUCAGCAGGGACGAAGCGAAAGUGACGGUACCUGCAGAAGAAGCACCGGCCAACUACGUGCCAGCAGCCGCGGUAA